GAUGAACGCUGGCGGCGUGCUUAAUACAUGCAAGUCGAACGGAAAGGCCCUGCUCUUGCUGGGUUCUCGAUUGGCGAACGCGUGUGUAUCACGCGUGUAUCCUCUCCCUGUAUUUCUGAUAUAUCCAGGAGACUGCGGCGAAUAUCCCAUAGGAUCUCCUGAACCACGUGGGGGGUUGGUAAAUUUCGGCGGUUGGGGAUGGACUCGCGGGUUAUCAGCUUGUUGGUGUGGUAGUGGCUGUCCAAGGCUUUGACGGGUAGCCGGCCUGAGAGGGUGACCGGCCACAUUGGGACUGAGAUACGGCCCAGACUCCUACGGGAGGCAGCAGUGGGGAAUAUUGCACAAUGGGCGGAAGCCUGAUGCAGCAACGCCGCGUGCGGGAUGACGGCCUUCGGGUUGUAAACCGCUUUCGCCUGUGACGAAGCGUGAGUGACGGUAAUGGGUAAAGAAGCACCGGCUAACUACGUG
rnacentral:rRNA from 1 species